GACGAACGCUGGCGGUGUGCUUAACACAUGCAAGUGGUGCGACGAACCAGAGCUUGCUCUGGGGCAAAGCCGCGAACGGGUGAGUAACACGUGGGUAAUCUACCCCGAUGACCGGGACAACCCGAGUAAACUCGGGCUAAUACCGGAUGUGGUGCGGAGACAUACGUCUCUUCACUAAAGGUAGCUUCGGCUUCCUCAUUGUGAGGGGCCCGCGGCCCCUGAGUUUGUUGGUGGGGUAAAGGCCUACCAAGGCAACGAUGGGUAGCUGGUCUAAGAGGACGAUCGGCAACACUGGGCCUGAGAAACGGCCCAGCUCCCUAGGGGAGGCAGCGGUGGGGAAUCUUGCGAAAGGGGCGAAGGCGUGCCGAAGCAACACGGCGUGAGGGAAGAAGGCCUUAGGGUGGUAAACCUCUUUCAGAUGGGACGAAGGUUCUCCGGUGAAUAGCCGAGAGGAUUGACGGUACUGUCAGAAGAAGCACCGGCUAACUACGU
rnacentral:rRNA from 1 species